GCUAGCUACAGGCUUAACACAUGCAAGUCGAGGGGCAGCAUCAUCAAAGCUUGCUUUGAUGGAUGGCGACCGGCGCACGGGUGAGUAACACGUAUCCAACCUGCCGACAACACUGGGAUAGCCUUUCGAAAGAAAGAUUAAUACCGGAUGGCAUAGUUUUCCCGCAUGGGAUAAUUAUUAAAGAAUUUCGGUUGUCGAUGGGGAUGCGUUCCAUUAGGCAGUUGGCGGGGUAACGGCCCACCAAACCAACGAUGGAUAGGGGUUCUGAGAGGAAGGUCCCCCACAUUGGAACUGAGACACGGUCCAAACUCCUACGGGAGGCAGCAGUGAGGAAUAUUGGUCAAUGGACGAGAGUCUGAACCAGCCAAGUAGCGUGAAGGAUGACUGCCCUAUGGGUUGUAAACUUCUUUUAUACGGGAAUAAAGUUAGCCACGUGUGGCUUUUUGUAUGUACCGUAUGAAUAAGGAUCGGCUAACUCCAUGCCAGCAGCCGCGGUAAUACGGAGGAUCCGAGCGUUAUCCGGAUUUAUUGGGUUUAAAGGGAGCGUAGGCGGGUUGUUAAGUCAGUUGUGAAAGUUUGCGGCUCAACCGUAAAAUUGCAGUUGAUACUGGCGACCUUGAGUGCAACAGAGGUAGGCGGAAUUCGUGGUGUAGCGGUGAAAUGCUUAGAUAUCACGAAGAACUCCGAUUGCGAAGGCAGCUUACUGGAUUGUAACUGACGCUGAUGCUCGAAAGUGUGGGUAUCAAACAGGAUUAGAUACCCUGGUAGUCCACACAGUAAACGAUGAAUACUCGCUGUUGGCGAUAUACGGUCAGCGGCCAAGCGAAAGCAUUAAGUAUUCCACCUGGGGAGUACGCCGGCAACGGUGAAACUCAAAGGAAUUGACGGGGGCCCGCACAAGCGGAGGAACAUGUGGUUUAAUUCGAUGAUACGCGAGGAACCUUACCCGGGCUUAAAUUGCAACUGACUGAACCGGAAACGGUUCUUUCUUCGGACAGUUGUGAAGGUGCUGCAUGGUUGUCGUCAGCUCGUGCCGUGAGGUGUCGGCUUAAGUGCCAUAACGAGCGCAACCCUUACGGGUAGUUACCAUCAGGUUAUGCUGGGGACUCUACCCGGACUGCCGUCGUAAGAUGUGAGGAAGGUGGGGAUGACGUCAAAUCAGCACGGCCCUUACGUCCGGGGCUACACACGUGUUACAAUGGGGGGUACAGAAGGCAGCUACACGGCGACGUGGUGCUAAUCCCGAAAGCCUCUCUCAGUUCGGAUUGGAGUCUGCAACCCGACUCCAUGAAGCUGGAUUCGCUAGUAAUCGCGCAUCAGCCACGGCGCGGUGAAUACGUUCCCGGGCCUUGUACACACCGCCCGUCAAGCCAUGAAAGCCGGGGGUACCUGAAGUACGUAACCGCGAGGAGCGUCCUAGGGUAAAACUGGUGAUUGGGGC
rnacentral:rRNA from 1 species